UGUGAUCGUUGUCAGUUGAUGCCAGCUGCACAUCAAAGAUGCAGAGCCUUAUAACAAAAAUCGCCACUGAGAAGCUGAGCACCUACGCUGCUGUCAUAUCUAUCUUCACCUACACUAUUUUGCUCGACAGGGAUUUUGCCUGCACCUGCAAACCACAAGCCUCGAUCUGCUUCCUGUACAUGUUUCUGCCACCCUUUAUCAUUUUUUUAUUAAUACUUUUGUUGGACAGUUCGUUCCAAAGUGUCUGUAAAUACUAUUCCUCGCAUUGUAAAUGCCUCUGCGGUCUUUGCUGUUUUUAUGCCCAUCAUUUUUUAAGGGCAUUAUUAGUCGGCUUGCUGUGGGUUGCUUUUUUGUUCCUCGAUGGAGACUGGUAUGUUUGCUGUCAGAAUGACGGCUCUGAACAACAGGCAAAGUUAGCCUGCGUAGCUGAGAAGGAUAUCAAAGACAACGAGAAAGUUCUUAAAGCUGAACUGAAGAACACAUCCCGGGCUAUCGGUGGCUGGAUUCUAUCUGGAAUUAUUUUAGUGGCUUUCAUCUUGCCAUUCUGUGUCAGAUCGAAAUGCUGGGGGAAAAAAAAACAUUCUGCCAACAAAAGAUUUCUGUAUGACAAACUGAUUAUAAUGGAGGAGGGCAAUGUGCUGAAAGAGGUUCUGAGGAAUUCAGCAAAGGAGAAGUUGACUGAAGGAAUCAAGAGCAAAAUCCGUGAAAAACGAAGGGAAGAGUGUUUCGAAGUUGCCAGAGAGCUGAUUGAAAAAGACCCGCGAGAAGAUGAGCUCCAACCGCUAGGGGCACAAGAAGCAGAGACCUAGCCUCUUUGUCCAGUCCAGUUGACACGCAUCCUAUCUGUUCCUGCCGGUACCGACUAGACUGGACGAUCAUUGAGGAGGCACACCUGGAAGAGUUCUGUCUCUCCAUGGUUUCAUGAUCUGUUGCUGACUACAGAGUUUAAGUGAAGUCAGCAGCUCCCAGUACGACUGGAAAAUGUUAUAGAUGCCAUUGCUCCCACCAAGGUAAAGGAAGUGUCUGGCAAGAAAAUAUCUCCAUGCAGAAAGGCCAUGACCUGCUAAAUGCAGGUGGCGAAAAACAAAUCUCCAUUUUGAAAUCUAUAAAGAGAGACUUGGCUUUUAUCAUUUGGAAUUGAAAAAUGCAUAAAAGUCUUUCU